CAACUUUGAGCGGUGGAUCACUCAGCUCGUGUGUCGAUGAAGAGUGCAGCCAACUGUGUGAAUUAAUGUGAACUGCAUACUGCUUUGAACAUCGACAUCUUGAACGCAUAUUGCGGCUACGGGAUAUCCUGUGGCCACGCCUGUCCGAGGGUCG
rnacentral:rRNA from 11 species